rnacentral:rRNA from 1 species
UACGUAGGUGGCAAGCGUUGUCCGGAUUUAUUGGGUUUAAAGGGUGCGUAGGUGGUCUAUUAAGUCAGUGCUGAAAUAUCCCGGCUUAACCGGGAGGGUGACAUUGAUACUGAUGGACUUGAGUAAAGUUGAGGUGGGCGGAAUUGACGGUGUAGCGGUGAAAUGCUUAGAUAUCGUCAAGAACACCUAUUGCGAAGGCAGCUCACUAAGCUUUAACUGACACUGAGGCACGAAAGUGUGGGGAUCAAACAGG